rnacentral:Y_RNA from 1 species
AGCUGGUCCGAAGAUAGUGAGUUAUCUCACUUGAUUGUUCAGUCAGUUACAGAUUGAACUCCUUGUUCUACUACUUCCCACCCCGGCUCCUCACUACUGCGCUUGACUAAUCUUUA